CGGUGACAAACCGGAGGAAGGCGGGGAUGACGUCAAAUCAUCAUGCCCCUUAUGACCUGGGCUACACACGUACUACAAUGGCCGGUACAAAGGGCAGCGAAGCCGCGAGGUGGAGCCAAUCCCAGCAAAGCCGGUCUCAGUUCGGAUUGCAGGCUGCAACUCGCCUGCAUGAAGUCGGAAUUGCUAGUAAUCGCGGAUCAGCAUGCCGCGGUGAAUACGUUCCCGGGUCUUGUACACACCGCCCGUCACACCACGAGAGUUUACAACACCCGAAGUCGGUGGGGUAACCCGCAAGGGAGCCAGCCGCCGAAGGUGGGGUAGAUGAUUGGGGUGAAGUCGUAACAAGGUAGCCGUAUCGGAAGGUGCGGCUGGAUCACCUCCUUUCUAAGGAG
rnacentral:rRNA from 1 species